rnacentral:misc_RNA from 1 species
GAAAUGCGAUAAGUAAUGUGAAUUGCAGAUUUUCAGUGAAUCAUCGAAUCUUUGAACGCACCUUGCGCCCCAUGGUAUUCCGUGGGGCAUGCCUGUUUGAGUGUCAUUAAAUUAUCAACCCUCUACUUGUUUUACGAUGAGCAGAGUUGGAUUGGACUUGAGGUGUGCUGGUCAUUCAAUUGAUCGGCUCCCUUUUAAAUGCAUCAGCGGAGCCACUCGCCUCCGGCUAACAUCGACGUGAUAAUCAUCUUACAUCGUUGUCUACCGGUUCCAGAGUCCGCUUAUAAUCGUCCCUUUGCUGGGACAAUCAUUAUGACAAUUUGACCUCAAAUCAGGUAGGACUACCCGCUGAACUUAA